UUUAUUUUAUUUCAUUUCAAAUUUCUUUUAGAAUAAAAUAAAGAUGUGGUUACUAGUAUUGUGAUAAAAUGCCCAAAUUGGCGUACGUUUUUUUCACGCGUAUGUAUAUGGGUUG
rnacentral:ribozyme from 1 species